rnacentral:lncRNA from 1 species
GCGCGGUCCCGUGGCUUGCCCGUUAAACCUGGCUGAGUUAAAACUGUUACUGUCGCGAGGAGCUCCGACCGUGCCCACCGCGAGGACACGUCAAAUCACAGUUGUACUCUCUCCUUUCGCAGGGUCAGAUCAACGGAGUCCAACAUCUUCGUGGCAUAACAGAAGCGGUUCUGGAACGGGAAAGAACGCUUAAGUCGUUUUAUGGAGGCUUGUGGGACGCAACGAAACAUUUCUUAAAGUGUUGGCACUGAGGAUAUCAGUCCAGAUCCACCUUUAAUUCGGAACAUAGUCUUGUUUGGAUUUCAGCCUGUUUGAAAUGUGGCGUUAUGUGCUCGAGAUAAAUGUGCUAUGUGUGUGAUUUGGAGAGGAUCUUGUGGAAGGUGUCCAGUGGGAAAGAGACUGGGUGGACUCAUCUGCAACUGAUCGCCGUUUUCUGAGCGCAAUGGACUUGGAAUGAAGACAAAACAUGGAUAUAAUCUGGGAAAUAUUUAUUAUCCUUCAAGCCAAUCUCAUCGUUUGCACUUCAGUUUUGACAGGAAGCAAAGCGAUGCAGAUGUCACCACUAACAUCCUGACUGUGGACCUCCAGCACGCCGCCAAUUACUUGAAGUCUCUCGGACAGAACAUUGUGAAAUUAACAGCUUUAGAUGUCUAUUCUGAAUGACUUCUUACUUCAUUUUCGCUUUAUAGAUUUGAAGCAUUUCUUUCUGCUGAAGCCAGUAAAUAUGUUAUUGGGGCAUCGCCAAGCUGUGUGGGAAAUGGAAUAGAACUUAGCUGCUUUUCUUAAACUGCUGUCAUAAUGAAAUAUGUGAUGUCUCAUUUUCAUGCAACCCUGCACAUUGAACUGGGACACACAUAAGAUCUGAGUGCAAUGAAUUACAUUCAAUCACAACUGUUCUUUGGUCCCUGUAAGCUUGCAGCCGUAUACACACUUACAUGAAAGCCAUCAAAAAUCUAAUUUUAAUCACAAAAGGCAUAAAAACACUACACUUGGAUGUUCUGUGGAAAGCUUUUGUUGCAUAAAGUCUGGAGUGCUUGAGUCUUUUGCUUUCAGAAAUGAUCAAUUGGCGUUAUGUUUUCCUAUCCUGUCUCUGUCCUGCUAAUGACGGCAGCUUUGAGCUGCAGGGAUGGGAGCUUUGUUUUCCCCACUGAGAGGGAGAGAGAUGGUUUGAUG